UUAAGCGACUAAGCGUACACGGUGGAUGCCCUGGCAGUCAGAGGCGAUGAAGGACGUGCUAAUCUGCGAUAAGCGUCGGUAAGGUGAUAUGAACCGUUAUAACCGGCGAUUUCCGAAUGGGGAAACCCAGUGUGUUUCGACACACUAUCAUUAACUGAAUCCAUAGGUUAAUGAGGCGAACCGGGGGAACUGAAACAUCUAAGUACCCCGAGGAAAAGAAAUCAACCGAGAUUCCCCCAGUAGCGGCGAGCGAACGGGGAGCAGCCCAGAGCCUGAAUCAGUGUGUGUGUUAGUGGAAGCGUCUGGAAAGGCGCGCGAUACAGGGUGACAGCCCCGUACACAAAAAUGCACAUGCUGUGAGCUCGAUGAGUAGGGCGGGACACGUGGUAUCCUGUCUGAAUAUGGGGGGACCAUCCUCCAAGGCUAAAUACUCCUGACUGACCGAUAGUGAACCAGUACCGUGAGGGAAAGGCGAAAAGAACCCCGGCGAGGGGAGUGAAAAAGAACCUGAAACCGUGUACGUACAAGCAGUGGGAGCACAGAGCAAUCUGUGUGACUGCGUACCUUUUGUAUAAUGGGUCAGCGACUUAUAUUCUGUAGCAAGGUUAACCGAAUAGGGGAGCCGAAGGGAAACCGAGUCUUAACUGGGCGUUAAGUUGCAGGGUAUAGACCCGAAACCCGGUGAUCUAGCCAUGGGCAGGUUGAAGGUUGGGUAACACUAACUGGAGGACCGAACCGACUAAUGUUGAAAAAUUAGCGGAUGACUUGUGGCUGGGGGUGAAAGGCCAAUCAAACCGGGAGAUAGCUGGUUCUCCCCGAAAGCUAUUUAGGUAGCGCCUCGUGAAUUCAUCUCCGGGGGUAGAGCACUGUUUCGGCAAGGGGGUCAUCCCGACUUACCAACCCGAUGCAAACUGCGAAUACCGGAGAAUGUUAUCACGGGAGACACACGGCGGGUGCUAACGUCCGUCGUGAAGAGGGAAACAACCCAGACCGCCAGCUAAGGUCCCAAAGUCAUGGUUAAGUGGGAAACGAUGUGGGAAGGCCCAGACAGCCAGGAUGUUGGCUUAGAAGCAGCCAUCAUUUAAAGAAAGCGUAAUAGCUCACUGGUCGAGUCGGCCUGCGCGGAAGAUGUAACGGGGCUAAACCAUGCACCGAAGCUGCGGCAGCGACGCUGAUGCGUUGUUGGGUAGGGGAGCGUUCUGUAAGCCUGCGAAGGUGUGCUGUGAGGCAUGCUGGAGGUAUCAGAAGUGCGAAUGCUGACAUAAGUAACGAUAAAGCGGGUGAAAAGCCCGCUCGCCGGAAGACCAAGGGUUCCUGUCCAACGUUAAUCGGGGCAGGGUGAGUCGACCCCUAAGGCGAGGCCGAAAGGCGUAGUCGAUGGGAAACAGGUCAAUAUUCCUGUACUUGGUGUUACUGCGAAGGGGGGACGGAGAAGGCUAUGUUGGCCGGGCGACGGUUGUCCCGGUUUAAGCGUGUAGGCUGGUUUUCCAGGCAAAUCCGGAAAACUAAGGCUGAGGCGUGAUGACGAGGCACUACGGUGCUGAAGCAACAAAUGCCCUGCUUCCAGGAAAAGCCUCUAAGCAUCAGGUAACAUCAAAUCGUACCCCAAACCGACACAGGUGGUCAGGUAGAGAAUACCAAGGCGCUUGAGAGAACUCGGGUGAAGGAACUAGGCAAAAUGGUGCCGUAACUUCGGGAGAAGGCACGCUGAUAUGUAGGUGAAGUCCCUCGCGGAUGGAGCUGAAAUCAGUCGAAGAUACCAGCUGGCUGCAACUGUUUAUUAAAAACACAGCACUGUGCAAACACGAAAGUGGACGUAUACGGUGUGACGCCUGCCCGGUGCCGGAAGGUUAAUUGAUGGGGUCAGCGCAAGCGAAGCUCUUGAUCGAAGCCCCGGUAAACGGCGGCCGUAACUAUAACGGUCCUAAGGUAGCGAAAUUCCUUGUCGGGUAAGUUCCGACCUGCACGAAUGGCGUAAUGAUGGCCAGGCUGUCUCCACCCGAGACUCAGUGAAAUUGAACUCGCUGUGAAGAUGCAGUGUACCCGCGGCAAGACGGAAAGACCCCGUGAACCUUUACUAUAGCUUGACACUGAACAUUGAGCCUUGAUGUGUAGGAUAGGUGGGAGGCUUUGAAGUGUGGACGCCAGUCUGCAUGGAGCCGACCUUGAAAUACCACCCUUUAAUGUUUGAUGUUCUAACGUGGACCCGUGAUCCGGGUUGCGGACAGUGUCUGGUGGGUAGUUUGACUGGGGCGGUCUCCUCCUAAAGAGUAACGGAGGAGCACGAAGGUUGGCUAAUCCUGGUCGGACAUCAGGAGGUUAGUGCAAUGGCAUAAGCCAGCUUGACUGCGAGCGUGACGGCGCGAGCAGGUGCGAAAGCAGGUCAUAGUGAUCCGGUGGUUCUGAAUGGAAGGGCCAUCGCUCAACGGAUAAAAGGUACUCCGGGGAUAACAGGCUGAUACCGCCCAAGAGUUCAUAUCGACGGCGGUGUUUGGCACCUCGAUGUCGGCUCAUCACAUCCUGGGGCUGAAGUAGGUCCCAAGGGUAUGGCUGUUCGCCAUUUAAAGUGGUACGCGAGCUGGGUUUAGAACGUCGUGAGACAGUUCGGUCCCUAUCUGCCGUGGGCGCUGGAGAACUGAGGGGGGCUGCUCCUAGUACGAGAGGACCGGAGUGGACGCAUCACUGGUGUUCGGGUUGUCAUGCCAAUGGCACUGCCCGGUAGCUAAAUGCGGAAGAGAUAAGUGCUGAAAGCAUCUAAGCACGAAACUUGCCCCGAGAUGAGUUCUCCCUGACUCCUUGAGAGUCCUGAAGGAACGUUGAAGACGACGACGUUGAUAGGCCGGGUGUGUAAGCGCAGCGAUGCGUUGAGCUAACCGGUACUAAUGAACCGUGAGGCUUAACCUU
rnacentral:rRNA from 1 species